rnacentral:rRNA from 1 species
GAUGAACGCUGGCGGCGUGCCUAAUACAUGCAAGUCGAGCGAACAGAUGAUGAGCUUGCUCCUCUGACGUUAGCGGCGGACGUGUGAGUAACACGUGUAUAACCUCCCUAUAAGACUGGUAUAACUUCGGGAAACCGGAUCUAAUACCGUAUAAUAUCUUGAACCACAUUGUUCAAUAGUGAAAUACGGUUUUUCGGUCACUUAUAGAUGGAUCUGCGCCGCAUUAGAUAGUUGUUAAUUUAACGGCUUACCAAGGCAACGAUGCGUAGACGAACUAAGAGGGUGAUAGGCGACACUGGAACUGAGACACGGUCCAGACUCCUACGGGAGGCCGCAGUAGGGAAUCUUACGCAAUGGGCGAAAGCAUGACGGAGCAACGCCGCGUGAGUGAUGAAGGUCUUCGGAUCGUAAAACUCUGUUAUUAGGGAAGAACAAAUGUGUAAGUAACUAUGCACGUAUUGACGGUAACUAAUAAGAAAGCCACGGCUAACUACGUG